AUGUUUAGAGCAUACUUUCUUCUAUUUGUUGAAAUUCAUCUGUGCUCUACCGAAGUUAUUUGCGACUCAUUCCCAAAAUAUGGAAACUCAUUUGAAUUUCAACAAAUGGAAAAGGGAAAUUUGUUUGUAAAAGAGUUUGUUGCUGACUCUUCUAGGAUAACUUGUUUUUGUCAUAAUGAUAGGUCUAUACCAAAUAAUAAUAACAACUGA